rnacentral:rRNA from 1 species
AGGUCCCAAGGGUAUGGCUGUUCGCCAUUUAAAGUGGUACGCGAGCUGGGUUUAGAACGUCGUGAGACAGUUCGGUCCCUAUCUGCCGUGGGCGCUGGAGAACUGAGGGGGGCUGCUCCUAGUACGAGAGGACCGGAGUGGACGCAUCACUGGUGUUCGGGUUGUCAUGCCAAUGGCACUGCCCGGUAGCUAAAUGCGGAAGAGAUAAGUGCUGAAAGCAUCUAAGCACGAAACUUGCCCCGAGAUGAGUUCUCCCUGACUCCUUGAGAGUCCUGAAGGAACGUUGAAGACGACGACGUUGAUAGGCCGGGUGUGUAAGCGCAGCGAUGCGUUGAGCUAACCGGUACUAAUGAACCGUGAGGCUUAACCUU